GACAGAGGUCUCGAGCGUUAGGCGGAAUCACUGGGCUUAAAGCGUGUGUAGGCGGACUUGUAAGUCAGGGGUGAAAUCCCGGGGCUCAACCUCGGAACUGCCUUUGAUACUGCGAAUCUUUGAGUCCGAUAGAGGUGGGUGGAAUUCCUAGUGUAGAGGUGAAAUUCGUAGAUAUUAGGAAGAACACCAGUGGCGAAGGCGGCCCACUGGAUCGGUACUGACGCGUG
rnacentral:rRNA from 1 species